ACCCUCGUGGCAAAACGGUUAAGGCGUCGGCUUUCUAAGCCGAAGAUUGCGUGUUCGAAUCUCGCCGGAAGUA